AGCUAUAGAGAUGGAUGGAUGUAACACUCUCUCUCUCUCUGUCUCUCUGUCUCUCUGUCUCUCUGUCUGUCUCUCUCUCUCUCUCUCUCUGUCUCUCUCUCAUGCACACAUACACAUUGUGGCUUCUAUAUUGCAGAUACAUGGUACAUAUACUAUGAGCACAUAGAUAUCCCCAGGGGAACUAUGAGUCUCCCCCAAAAGCUGAAAUUCUGAUGACCGAAGUAGAAGGAAGGGAGCAGAGCAGAACAACUGUGGGACUUGUUUCCUUCUAAAACCCUCUUGUCUGCUCUGUGGAACACGGGCUGCUUUGGAGGUGGGGUGUGUGGCUUGGUGCCUGGGAUGAAAAGGGCCUUAAACAACUCCGGUCCUUUGUGUUUCUAUCUAUCACUUUUUUUUUUCCUGUUUGGAGAAAUCAGAAAAAAGUACUGGUGACCUUUGAGGGGUGUGGAAAGUAUCAAGAAAAAGAGAGUAGGUGAGGGCAGGACCAGCCAUGACAAAGUGGGGCUAGGACAGCAGGGAGCACUCGACAUAUGCUACCUGAGGGCAUGAUGACCCAGAGUGCAGACCUAGAGUGAGAAGGUAGGAAGAGAAGAGGGUAGCCAGGGCUCAGGGGAGUGGGUUUGAGGGGGAAGUGACUGGAGCAAGUUCAAAUCCCAAGCCGAUCAAGGAAUCCCAAGAGGAUUCCAAGGUAGGAGGAAUAAGCUAUGGUAAUGUGUCAAGCUCCCUGUUCCCCCAAACAAACCGGUCUGGGCCGUGCCCUGCAGGUAUUCAAACCAGUAUGGCUACUGUGUUUCUCUGUUUGUCCCCUGAAUUAUUUAUCCCUGGUAUGUGAGAGAGGCCCAGACAGGGCUCUUCCAGUGCCCCAGAGCUAAAUACCCUUGUUCUGUGUUUUCUCUGCAGUUAUUUCAGCGAUUCCUUUCCACUCUCUAGGAGGAAGCUGAUGCCCACAGGCCGAUGGACGGAUCGAUGGAUCCUGACACAGGAGGAACUGAAAUAGAAAUCUCCAAAGCCCUUAGGUAAAAUGGGGAUGGUCUCUAAGUCCUAUUGUCGGGUGUAGCACAAGUAUUCAACUGGAGAGUGACUGAGCUAUUACUGUUUGUGUGGUUUGGUUGCCCCUAAGGAAUGGCUUACGUGGGAGGCCAGAAAACACUCGGCUCCCUGGGACAGCAGCCAUAUCUCUGCUCCGAAUUCUUCUUUAAAAGAAGAUUAAAUUACUAGCAAUUUAUUUCUUGGUUAUUGUGGCCCAUGCUCACAGAGUCCAAAACAGACAAGUCCAGGAAGAUUCUCCCUGGUAGCUGCCUCCAAAGCAUUCCACUGUUAACACCAUCCCUGUUUUUUUGAGCUUUCUGUAGACAUUCCUAUUGGGCCUUACUGGCCUUGACACACCCACGAGAUGUUAUUUUUUUCUUAAGCCUUUUCACAUUUUAAUUAUUUGUCUAAUAGUAACUGCACUCAGAGGCUGAGCCUGAAGGAUGAUAAGUUUAAGGCUAGCCUGAGCUACAUCUGGAGACACUGUCUUAAAGGGGAAAAAAGGUUAAAAUGUUUACAGAGCUAGCUUUCUUACCUUGAAAUGCCUUAAAUGUUUAAUGAAGG
rnacentral:lncRNA from 1 species